AUAAACUGCACAUAAUUUAAUAGUUUUUCAGGAAGAAAGAGAGAAUCAGCAACAUGGCAUUGAAGGUACCCGUUGACAGUGACGUGCAUCACAGCAUUAACAGGAGAAAUGCUUGUGUGUGCAAAUGGGAGACAAAGGAAAGGGACCACCACAUCCAUGGAGUGCACCGCGUGAGAGAAAUGCUCAGGAAGGGAAUUGACCAGAUUGGCUGUGGAGAGAA
rnacentral:lncRNA from 1 species